rnacentral:rRNA from 1 species
UACGUAGGCAGCAAGCGUUGUUCGGAGUUACUGGGCGUAAAGGGUGUGUAGGCGGUUCUUUUAAGUUUGGUGUGAAAUCUCCCGGCUCAACCGGGAGGGUGCGCCGAAUACUGAGGGACUAGAGUGUGGGAGAGGAAAGUGGAAUUCCUGGUGUAGCGGUGAAAUGCGUAGAUAUCAGGAGGAACACCGGUGGUGUAGACGGCUUUCUGGACCAUAACUGACGCUGAGACACGAAGGCCAGGGGAGCAAACGGG